rnacentral:rRNA from 1 species
UACAGAGGUCCCAAGCGUUGUUCGGAUUCACUGGGCGUAAAGGGUGCGUAGGUGGUGAGGUAAGUCGGAUGUGAAAUCUCCGAGCUCAACUCGGAAAUGGCAUUGGAAACUACCUUGCUUGAGGGUUGGAGGGGGGACUGGAAUACUUGGUGUAGCAGUGAAAUGCGUAGAUACCAAGUGGAACACCAGUGGCGAAGGCGAGUCCCUGGACAACUCCUGACACUGAGGCACGAAAGCUAGGGGAGCAAACAGG